UAGUCCACACCGUAAACGAUGAAUGCCAGUCGUCGGGUAGUAUACUAUUCGGUGACACACCUAACGGAGUAAGCAUUCCGCCUGGGGAGUACGGUCGCAAGAUUAAAACUCAAAGGAAUUGACGGGGCCCGCACAAGCGGUGGAGCAUGUGGUUUAAUUCGAUGCAACGCGCAGAACCUUACCAGCCCUUGACAUCCCGGUCGCGGUUUCCAGAGAUGGUUACCUUCAGUUCGGCUGGACCGGUGACAGGUGCUGCAUGGCUGUCGUCAGCUCGUGUCGUGAGAUGUUGGGUUAAGUCCCGCAACGAGCGCAACCCUCAUCCUUAGUUGCCAGCGGUUCGGCCGGGCACUCUAAGGAAACUGCCGGUGACAAGCCGGAGGAAGGCGAGGGAUGACGUCAAGUCCUCAUGGCCCUUAUGGGGCUGGGGCUACACACGUGCUACAAUGGGCAGUGACAGUGGGAAGCAAGACCGCGAGGGUGGGAGCAAAUCCCCAAAAACU
rnacentral:rRNA from 1 species